GGGGAAUAUUGGACAAUGGGCGCAAGCCUGAUCCAGCAAUGCCGCGUGGGUGAAGAAGGCCUUCGGGUUGUAAAGCCCUUUUGUACGGGAAGAAAUCCUGUCGGUUAAUACCCGGCGGGGAUGACGGUACCGUAAGAAUAAGCACCGGCUAACUUCGUGCCAGCAGCCGCGGUAAUACGGAGGGGGCUAGCGUUGUUCGGAAUUACUGGGCGUAAAGCGCGCGUAGGCGGCUUUGUAAGUUAGAGGUGAAAGCCCGGAGCUCAACUCCGGAACUGCCUUUAAGACUGCAUCGCUAGAAUUGUGGAGAGGUGAGUGGAAUUCCGAGUGUAGAGGUGAAAUUCGUAGAUAUUCGGAAGAACACCAGUGGCGAAGGCGGCUCACUGGCUCGACACUGACGCUGAGGUGCGAAAGCGUGGGGAGCAAA
rnacentral:rRNA from 1 species